GCCAGAGUGGUAUAGUGGUUUGAGUACUGGAUUAGGACUCCAGGAAUCCAGGGGUCACAUCCCUGCUCAUCCA